rnacentral:rRNA from 1 species
AUUGAACGCUGGCGGCAUGCCUUACACAUGCAAGUCGAACGGCAGCACGGGGCAACCUGGUGGCGAGUGGCGAACGGGUGAGUAAUGCAUCGGAACGUACCUUUCAGUGGGGGAUAACGUAGCGAAAGUUACGCUAAUACCGCAUAUUCUGUGAGCAGGAAAGCAGAGGAUCGCAAGACCUUGCGCUGAUUGAGCGGCCGAUGUCAGAUUAGCUAGUUGGUGAGGUAAAGGCUCACCAAGGCGACGAUCUGUAGCGGGUCUGAGAGGAUGAUCCGCCACACUGGAACUGAGACACGGUCCAGACUCCUACGGGAGGCAGCAGUGGGGAAUUUUGGACAAUGGGGGCAACCCUGAUCCAGCCAUGCCGCGUGAGUGAAGAAGGCCUUCGGGUUGUAAAGCUCUUUCGGCCGGGAAGAGAUCGCACGGGCUAAUACCCUGUGUGGAUGACGGUACCGGAAUAAGAAGCACCGGCUAACUACGUGCCAGCAGCCGCGGUAAGAC